AUCAUUAUUCUUCAUUGAAUACACGUAAAUUAAGCAAAGUUUAAAAUUUUUGGCAACAUAACAUUUAUUUUUUGUAGCAAUUUUCCCUUCUAAAAUAAAAAUCCAAGCUAAUAAUUUAUCCAAAUAACCUCUUAAAAAAUAUCACGACAUAAAGAAAUAGUUCAAACGUACAAAACUCAUUGAAAGUCAUCUUCGGAUAAUAGCAUAAAAGUGUACACAUUUCUAUUUGCUAAAACAUAGUCACAAAAUAAUAAAGUGAUAUAAUAGUUGCAAUAUAAUCACAUAAAAUGUGGAUUGUGUGAAAUAACCUAAGUAUAUACAUCCACGUUCCCAAAUACUAUUGCAAAAUAUCAUUGUUAAGUUAUAAAUGCAUGCUCCCCAAUCAAAAGGCUAGCUAAAUAACAGACAGUAAAUUCUUAACACCAUUUACAUCCUUCAAUGCAGCAAAUUUCUCAAGUUGAUUUCUUGGAGACGAAGGAACUAACAAAAUGUCAAUUCCUUGAUCAAUGCCACCAGCUUUUACUUUCCAUGAAACCAAUGUCAUAGGCUUUGGAUCAUCAGCUUUUACAAAUGUCACGUCUGGCUCCUUGCAGCAAGUUUCAUCUAACUUCAGUUUCCCAAGCAAAUUUCACAAGUAUCGGCUUUUACAAAUCUUCGGUUUGAAUAGUUCAGUCUCUUCAAUUUGCUUCAAUACUUGUUUCUGAAAUACCAAACACGAAGCCUAAAUAUUAGAAAAUAAAGAUUUAAUUAUAUAAAUCUUGAUAAUUAAAAAGCUUUAAUUACUUUCUCUAUUUUACUUAAGAAACCACUGACAUAUUCUUGUCUCCAAAACUUAGCAACACACUUGACCAAGUCUUUAAAUCAAAGGACACUGAUUUAAGUAUAACAAAGUGGAAAGUUUCAGCACCCUUUACAUCCUUCAAUUUCACAGCAGGACAUUAUAAAUGCAAAGAAAACAUGAAGUUUAGACAAUCUGUGUACAGCCAAAAGGCUAGCUAACAUUUCAAAAUCAACCAAGAAUGCCACCAAAAUUCAAUAACAUAUUUGCAUAGCUUUCUCUUCUGAUAGAAUAAUUGAAAAAUUCCAACGUAUAUAAUGAUGAUAUAUGUCCACCGAGAUUAAAGCUAUCAUGUAAAUUAGGUAAACCCAACCCAAAUGAGAUAUAAAAUAAUCCAAAACCCAAAUCACCAUGACUAAAAUAAUUCAAAAUCUAAUUAAAAAAAAUUAAUAAUUUACCUUGAUACUCUGCUACAAUUGUGUGAUGAAGCUCCAAUGAAGGAUUCGUCAAUGGAGUCCGGAGGCUGCAGCCUAAAUUUAUACGGCAAAGCUGAACAGGUUUAGCGUGCAGGCAGCAAAGACGAAGUACGGCGACGGUGUUUUGCGAGCAUUUACUCAAAUAAAAUAAAAAAAUCAGCAACUCACAAUAGUAGAGACGGAGCUGACAGAGCAGUAGCAGUCGAGGCAGUCGAGACGGAGCAGUGACGGUGGCGGAGAUGGAGCAAUAACAGUGGCCCAAUGAAGCAGCGGCGGCGGCCAGUACAGCAGCCGUUUUGGACACAACGAGAGAGAGUAACCACUGUGAGUAGAUCGCGAGAGAGAGUCGAAGAGAUAAAGCACACCGAGAGAGUAAACGCUGUGAGUAGAUCAGGAGAGAGAGUUGAAGAGACAAGCCCGAAGAGACAAGGAUGAAGUGAGAGUCGCUGGAGUUUGUUUUUUAAUCUAUUUUUUAGUUUAGUUUUGGAAUAUGGCGAGAACAUGUUAAACACGUUCUCACUUUCACAGUUAUAAAAGUGAAUCUCAAAUUAUUUGUUUUAUCAUUUGAUUUUUGAAAUCGAGCCACCAAACGCGUACUAACUUAAAUUUAGAAAAGGAAAAUGAAAACAGGGCCUCUAAAACGAUACCAAACGGGCCCUUUGUCAUGACCCAACCCAGACCUGGUAAGAUAUUGUCCGCUUUGGGCCUUAAGAAGGCCCGCACGGAUUUGUUCUUGGGGCGCCCAUACACCCCAAAACGCGUCUUGCCAAUUAAGGUGUGGAUCACCCCUUAUAAAGCCAGCAUCUCUCCCGUGCUUUGCCGAUGUGGGAUUCGCCUAGGGUCAAUGUCAUGACCCAACCCAGACCUGGCAAGAUAUUGUCCGCUUUGGGCCUUAACAAGUCCCGCACGGAUUUGUUCUUGGGGCGCCCAUACACCCCAAAACGCGUCUUGCCAAUUAAGGUGUGAAUCACCCCUUAUAAACCCAGCAUCUCUCCCGUGCUUUGCCGAUGUGGGAUUCGCCUAGGGUGUUACAUACACCCCCCUUGGGGACUCAGCGUCCUCGCUGAGGUUUGCCCCACCAUCGCUCAAGAGGACAUGCGGAGCCGCUCUGAUACCACAAUGUCAUGACCCAACCCAGACCUGGCAAGAUAUUGUCCGCUUUGGGCCUUAACAAGGCCCGCACGGAUUUGUUCUUGGGGCGCCCAUACACCUCAAAACGCGUCUUGCCAAUUAAGGUGUGGAUCACCCCUUAUAAACCCAGCAUCUCUCCCGUGCUUUGCCGAUGUGGGAUUCGCCUAGGGUGUUACACCCUUAGCAUUUGGGAAAUGAGAAAUUGAUUGAUUUCCAUUUUUAUAUUUUAAAUUAAAUAAUAUGUUUUAAUUAAAUUGACUGAACCGAUUGGUUUGUCGGUUCUGGUUUUGAGUCAAAUUGAACGCAAAUCAAUUGAUUCUCAAUAUUCUUCCAUCAUUCUCAGCAGGGAUGAUAUUUUUUCUUAACGGGAUGGAAUCCUGCGGAAUCCCAUUAUAUUUAGGAUGAAAUUAAAAUAUAUUUUUGUCUUAUAAAAAAAUAAAUAAAAGUGAAAUAUUUUUUUAUUCUAUUUGUAUAUACGGGAUGAGAUUGGAAUUAGUAAAUUCCGUCUCAUCCCAUCUCAUUACCGAUUAAGAAUUAAAAUUUUUUCAAUUGGGAUGAGAUCUUACAAGAUUCUAUCUUUUUUGGAACGAGAUUAGAAUAUAUUUUUUUCCAAAAAAUAUAAAGACAUAGGCCCAUCAUAUAUGGAUGUAAGUGGGAUGAAAAAAUGUCUUACUGGAAAAUGAUGUUCUCACAAAGCUUUACACAAAACGGUUCAUUUUGUGCAAAGUAUAAAAGCCAUUUACACUUGCAAGCAGCAACACCACACACGCACGGAACAAAGAGUGCAGCAACGUUUCUCUUGUCUCUCUCUCUCUCUCAUUCUCCCUAUUUUAUCCCCCACCACACCGUAGUGCAGCAACCAUGCUAAUACUCAUGAUGUUACGAAUGGUACAAAGCUUCCCAUUCAGAGAAACAAUUGCUGCAGUCCUUGGCAAUCAUAAGCAAUUUGAAGAACCCAAUCAAACCAAACUGAGAAGGUCCCUCAUGUAAGAACAAAAUUCAAGCAACCAUAAGCAGAGCAAUCAACAUUAAUCACCAAAUUAAUAUGUGCUUUGUAAAAUAAUUUGAAGACCACGAUAUCCUUAACAAGAACAAUAACCAGUCAAAAUUAUGAGGCCUCAAAAACAUAUUAUUAAUUAAUCUUUAACAAUUAAGCAGCCUGCAUUUUUAAUUACAAAUUAAUCUUUAAUCAAUUAAGCCGAUUGUGUUGGGGGUCAGAGAGCAAUGCAGCUGAGAUCGACAGAAUGAAGACAACAUAUCCGAGAGAGUGAGGAAGAUCGAAGCAGAAAGAGUGAGGGAGACCGGAGCUGAGAGAGUGAGGGAGAUCGGAGCCCAGGGAGCCAUCUAGAUGCUUCAAGUGAGAGACGAGAGAGCUGUCACUGUUGCUGCGUCGUAAGGGAGAACGGAGUUGAUAUCGAGCUUGUGUGCACACAAGAGAGAGAGAAAAAUGUUGCUGUGUGUUGGGGGAGAAAAGAGGGAGACUGGAGAGAGAAAUGAGAAGAACGUUGCUGCAGGAUUUGUUGCGUGCGUGUGUGGUGUUGUUGCUUGCACGUGUGAAUGGCUUUUAUACUUUGCACAAAAUGAAUCGUUUUGUGCAAAGCUUUGUGUUGAGCUUUAUGAGAACAUCAUUUUCCAGUAAGACAUUUUUUCAUCCCACUUGCAUCCAUUACCAACGCUAGUUCAUAAAGUUGGCAAAAAAGAGAUAAGAGCUCGUGGGAUGAAAACAUAAAUAAGGGCUCACCAAAUGCAAAGCCCAUAUAUGAUGGGCCUAGUUAAAGGCUUUUAACAGAAGUUCGAGUUUUAUAACAUAUAUUAUUCGUUUUUUCUUUACAAAAAAACUUUAUAAUAUGGGUCCACCUAAGUUAUAAUUAAUGUAACUUACGGCUACUCUAUAAAAUUUCGUUCAACCCAUUAUACUCUAACUAUUUAUAAUUUAUUCAUAAGUAUUAUAAAAUUAUUUGGAUUGUAAAAUUUUGUUUAGCCCCUUACACUCUAUUUUAUUUCAUUGAAACCCCUAGAGUUCCAAUUCUCCCCCUA
rnacentral:lncRNA from 1 species